rnacentral:rRNA from 1 species
ACGGGGUGCAGCAGGCGCGAAAACUCCGCAAUGCGCAAAAGCGUGACGGGGGAACUCCAAGUGCGCUCGCGCAAGCGAGUGCUUUUGCAGAGUGCAAACAGCUCUGCGAAUAAAAGCGGGGUAAGACCGGUGCCAGCCGCCGCGGUAACACCGGCCGCUUGAGUGGUGACCACUAUUAUUGGGCCUAAAGCGUCCGUAGCCGGUUUGGUAAGUCCUUAGAUAAAUCCACUCGUUCAACGAAUGGAAUUCUAAAGAUACUGCCAGACUCGGGGGCGAGAGAAGUCGGAGGUACUUCUAGGGUAGCGGUGAAAUGUUAUAAUCCUAGAGGGACCACCAGUGGCGAAGGCGUCCGACUAGAGCGUGCCCGACGGUGACGGACGAAAGCCAGGGGAGCGAACGGGAUUAGAUACCCCGGUAGUCCUGGCCGUAAACGCUGCGGGCUAGGUGUUACGUCCUCUACGUGGGGACGUAGUGCCGUAGAGAAGUUGAUAAGCCUGCCGCCUGGGAAGUAUUACCGCAAGGUAGAAACUUAAAGGAAUUGGCGGGGGAGCAC